rnacentral:rRNA from 1 species
GAUGAACGCUAGCGACAGGCCUAACACAUGCAAGUCGAGGGGCAGCGGGGAGCGAAGCUUGCUUUGCUCCGCCGGCGACCGGCGCACGGGUGAGUAACGCGUAUGCAACCUGCCCGUUUCAGCGGGAUAACCCGGAGAAAUCCGGCCUAAUACCGCAUGUGGCCGAGGGAAGGCAUCUUCUUUCGGCCAAAGGAGGCGACUCCGGAGACGGAUGGGCAUGCGGGACAUUAGCUAGUUGGCGGGGUAACGGCCCACCAAGGCGACGAUGUCUAGGGGUUCUGAGAGGAAGGUCCCCCACACUGGUACUGAGACACGGACCAG